rnacentral:rRNA from 1 species
CAGCAGCCGCGGGAAUACGAAGGGGGCUAGCGUUGUUCGGAUUUACUGGGCGUAAAGGGUGCGUAGGCGGAUUGUUAAGUCAGGGGUGAAAUCCCGAGGCUCAACCUCGGAACUGCCUUUGAUACUGGCGAUCUUGAGUCCGGGAGAGGUGAGUGGAACUGCGAGUGUAGAGGUGAAAUUCGUAGAUAUUCGCAAGAACACCGGUGGCGAAGGCGGCUCACUGGCCCGGAACUGACGCUGAGGCACGAAAGCGUGGGGAGCAAACAGGAUUAGAGACCCGAGUAGUCCCUGUCUCUUAUAC